GGUAAAAUGUUGGCGGCGUCGAGGGCGGCGAGUUCGGCUUUUUCCUCGCGGCGGCGGCCGAGGCGGCGGCAGCGGGCCAGGGAGGGGGGCGCCUGGAAAAGGCCAAAAUCCGCCCAAAAUCCACCCAAAACGGGGCCCAAAUCCCAAAAUGGACCCGAAAUCCCAAAAUUUCACCCCAAAACCCCCAAAAUUCCGGCAGGAUCCCCUUCAAAUUAACAAAAUUUUACCCAAAAAUCUGCCCAAAAUCCUGCUGAAAAUGCCCAAAUUUUACCCAAAAUCCCACCAAAAUCCACCUAAAACGGGGCCCAAAUCCCAAAAUGGACCCGAAAUCCCAAAAUUCCACCCCAAAAGUCCAAAAUUCUGCCAGAAUCCGCUUAAAAAUUGUGCAA